rnacentral:rRNA from 1 species
UACGUAGGCAGCAAGCGUUGUUCGGAAUUACUGGGCGUAAAGAGUGUGUAGGCGGUUUUCUAAGUUCGGUGUGAAAUCUCCCGGCUUAACUGGGAGGGUGCGCCGGAAACUGGAGGACUGGAGUGCCGGAGAGGAUAGCGGAAUUCCUGGUGUAGCGGUGAAAUGCGUAGAUAUCAGGAGGAACACCUGCGGUGUAGACGGCUAUCUGGACGGUUACUGACGCUGAGGCACGAAAGCCAGGGGAGCAAACGGG